rnacentral:misc_RNA from 1 species
CUGCUCAUGAGAGUCACUG